AAACAGUCUAUGACUUGGGUGACUGGAGUUUCUGACAAUUUUAUGGGCUUUCCUAUGACACUGCAUAUUAUAUAGGUCCUGGAUUGCGGGAAGCUUGGCCCCAGUGAUGUACUGGGCCGUACGCACUACCUUCUGUAGCGCUACCUUCUCUCCUGUGCUACACGCGGAGAGAACACACUUGACCAUUGAUACUCUCUCUUCUGGGAUGGCUACAAGACCCUCCCCUGCCCUCCCUUCGCCAAAUCAGAUCAUGUCUCCAUCCUGCGGAGAGAACACACUUGUGACGAUUAGAACUUAUUCAAACCCAAAAACGUGGAUAGAUGGAAGCAUUCAAGCAAAACUGAAAGUGCAAACCACGGCACGUAACCAUGGUAAUGUGAGUAGGAACAUGGAGAGUGGAGAGGGUCAAAAGCUUCAAGUUCCUCUGCGUGUACCUCACUGAGGACCUAAAAUGGUCCUUUCACACCGACUGCAUAUUGAAGAAUGCGCAAUAGCUCCUGAAGAAAUUUAGCUUGGCCCCUAAGGCCCUCACAAACUUCUACUGAUGAGCAUUGAGAGCAUUCUAUCCGUCUAGGGCAAACUGCCUGCCCUUCAGGACAUCUACAGCACCCGGUGUCACAGGGAAGCCAAGAAAAUCAUCAAGGACCUCAGCCACCCGAGCCACAGAACAGGGUAGGGUUUCCAAACACGUGGACUACAAAUCAAGAUGGCUACCCCAAAUAAAACUACAACACCCACUUUGACUGUAGUCUGCUCUCUGCUGUCACUUCCCCUGGUGGUGGUCAUGUUCAGAGGAACCUGAGUCUCAGCUGGAGCUGCAGAGGAAGAGUUGUCACCAUUAAACCACCAAGUUUGAGAAGGAGUAGAAACAGGCGGAGGAGAGGAGAGAGGAGAGGAGAGCAGACACAGGACACAGACUGAACAGCAACAUCCAACACAGACCACAGUCUACAGGAGGAGGGGAGGAGGAGGAGGGCUCAGGAGGACUGGUGUCUGGACAAAACAUUAAAC
rnacentral:lncRNA from 1 species